rnacentral:rRNA from 1 species
UACGUAGGUGGCAAGCGUUAUCCGGAAUUAUUGGGCGUAAAGCGCGCGCAGGCGGUUUCUUAAGUCUGAUGUGAAAGCCCACGGCUCAACCGUGGAGGGUCAUUGGAAACUGGGAAACUUGAGUGCAGAAGAGAAAAGCGGAAUUCCACGUGUAGCGGUAAAAUGCGUAGAGAUGUGGAGGAACACCAGUGGCGAAGGCGGCUUUUUGGUCUGUAACUGACGCUGAGGCGCGAAAGCGUGGGGAGCAAACAGG